rnacentral:rRNA from 1 species
AACGAACGCUGGCGGCAGGCUUAACACAUGCAAGUCGAGCGCCCCGCAAGGGGAGCGGCAGACGGGUGAGUAACGCGUGGGAACGUACCUUUUGGUUCGGAACAACUCCGGGAAACUGGAGCUAAUACCGGAUAAGCCCUAACGGGGAAAGAUUUAUCGCCGAAAGAUCGGCCCGCGUCUGAUUAGCUAGUUGGUGAGGUAACGGCUCACCAAGGCGACGAUCAGUAGCUGGUCUGAGAGGAUGAUCAGCCACACUGGGACUGAGACACGGCCCAGACUCCUACGGGAAGCAGCAGUGGGGAAUAUUAGACAAUGGGCGCAAGCCUGAUCCAGCCAUGCCGCGUGAGUGAUGAAGGCCUUAGGGUUGUAAAGCUCUUUUGUCCGGGAAGAUAAUGACUGUACCGGAAGAAUAAGCCCCGGCUAACUUCGUG